AUAGCUUUCACCUGGAUUCACUUAGUCAGUGUAUGUCAUGGAUAGAGCAGGUGUUCCUAAUGUUUUGUACACGUCGCCUAUCAUAAACCUGAACACACAGGGUCAGAGAGACAGUGGGUUUUGAAGUCCUGCCAUUGUUCUACAGAGCAAGUCAGCUGACGGGACUGGAGAGACAUACACUCGAUCUGGAUGUGGUUAGAUGCAAGCGGUGGUUUGAUAUGUGUACACGCUAUCAUAUAGGUUAUCUAUUGUCAUAGUUUUCCGUAGGCCCGCUCUACUAGUAGAAGGAAGAUUUGUGGCUUCCAUUUCUGUUUGGGAAUGUACUUGAGGUGAAUGAAGAUGGCUGAUUGGUAUUUACAGUUAACAUUUAUCAUUGGUGGGACAUCUGACGUGUGCACCUCUAAAAACCGCACACAUGCACUUUGAGUAAUAUAUAGCAGCUUCAAAUUUCGCUCCCUAAUCAAUCAGAAUAUAUAUAUAUAAAGUAUAGAAAUAGUUUUAGCUACCCCAGAGACACAGUAUCCUCCCUGUUUAAAUGAAUAAUACCCAUAGUGUAGUACAGGAGAUUGGUGGCACCUUAAUUGGGGAGGACGGGCUCAUAGUAAUGGCUGGAAUGGAAUAAAUGCCAUUAUUAUGAGCCGUCCUCUCAACAGCCUCCUGUGUAGUGUAGAUAUACUGUACAUAGAUAGCACUAUAUUUGCUACUCCAGAACUGGAUGGGAUCAGCAGGGAGAUAACAGUGUCUGUGAUAGGAGUUAAUCCCGUGGAGAUACAGGCCAGCCUGGCUUAAUCUCAGCCUGCCCCCUAUCAGAUGGCCCCUCCGUCCCCCUCUAGGCCAGUGCAGUGCAGCAGCAGCUCUAGAGAUGACUAAGAACGGCAGGCUUAUCUGUGUUCCUGGCCCUGACACAGCAUCCACUUGAGAUAGGCCAGAGAGAGUGAAGCCUCAAGGCCCAGCAGGCUCACACAACACAACAGGACUGGCUACUAUCGGCAGUGUAUGUACGGGGAUGAUUGUAGCGGAGGAUGGCUAACCAAACCACUCUCCACUAAACAGUCAGCUGUUGUGACUGAGGAGGAUGUUUUGGUAGUUGUCUUGGCCAGGCUUUUAGUUCGCUAUAGGUCUGGACCGAGAAGGACAACGCGAUUGGCUAUCGCUCACAAGGCAAAGGGCACUCCUGGAAUGACGGGAAAGAGAUGACUGACAUUAGCCUCUGCAGUUGCCUCAACAGUUUCAGUCUCCAACGCACCAAACUGCUGACAACAACAUAUUACCUGUGGACGUUCCUAUACACUGAGUGUACAAAACAUUAUGAACACCUGCUCUUUCCAUGACAUAGACUGACCAGGUCAAUCCAAGUGAAAGCUAUGAUCCCUUAUUGAUGUCACUUGUUAAAUCCACUUCAAUCAGUGUAGAUGAAGUGGAGGAGGCAGGUUAAAGGAGGGUUUUUAAGCCUUGAGACAAUUAAGACGAAUUGUCUGUGUGCCAUUCAGAGGGUGAAUGGGCAAGGCAAAACAUUUAAGUGCCUUUGAACGGGGUGGUAGUAGGUGCCAGAAGCACCGGUUUGAGUGUGCCAAGAACUGCAACGCUGCUGGGUUUUUCACGCUCAACAAUUUCACGUGUGUAUCAAGAAUGGUCCACCACCCAAAGGACAUCGAGCCACAACUGUGGGAAGCAUUGGAGUCAACAUCGGCCAGCAUCCCUGUGGAAAGCUUUCAACACCUUGUAGAGUCCAUGCCCCGAUGAACUGAGGCUGUUCUGAGGGGAAAAGGGGGUGCAACUCAAUAUUAGAAAUGUGCUCCUAAUGUUUUAUACUCCAGUGUAUGUUCUUCCAUAUGGUUAUAUAGUAUUUACGUGAGGGACGAUUUUGUGGAGUGAAAUGUUUCAGUGUUCUCUCUGGUCGCUGCAGGGUUAGGUUGGUUUAAAGUUGUGUUGUAAUUAGGGUUUCUGUGUGUUAGAAAUAGGAGUGUGGGAACACAUUUGGCACAACCUUCUCCACAGGCCUUUAAAAUGGUCUUAAAUAAGCUCCUAACCACAAAAUACAACUCCAUCCACUAGGGUACUUUUAAUGUAGCAAGGAAUGCACAAAGAUAUGUCCUAAGUUCUGCUUCAGAGAAAACCAGAUUUACUUUAGUCAAUGAUUAUGUUGAACUCAAAUGCAUUUAGGGAAAAUUACAUUAUUACUAUGUUAAUUAUGUUAUCACAACAUUCACCCUUGAUUAUUGAAUUAUUAGUUGUAUGAAUAUUAUUGUUCUUCCUUUAGUGUCCACAUUCAUACAACAUUCAAACCUGUCUGGAGUUACUAAGAGGUGGCAUUGAAGGGUAGUGGGAAACACAAGCAUCUUCCAAAAAUCCCUCACUGAUCCAGAAACAGUGACUAUUUUUCCCACCUCUCCUCCCAUAGUUAAUAUGUUAUUUCCCCUGGAAGUUCUUGGUUCGAUGCCACUCCUGGUGUGCCUUACUGGGCUCUAUUAAAUAGGCCCUCAGGACACCUCUGGGGAGUUCAAAUGUGGUAGAAUGGUACAGUACAGCUGGUCUGUCCACCUUAACACACCCAGUCCCCCCCAA